rnacentral:rRNA from 1 species
GACGAACGCUGGCGGCGUGCCUAAUACAUGCAAGUCGAACGCACUCUCGUUUAGAUUGCAGGAGUUUGCUCCUGAUUGAUAAACAUUUGAGUGAGUGGCGGACGGGUGAGUAACACGUGGGUAACCUGCCCUAAAGUGGGGGAUAACAUUUGGAAACAGAUGCUAAUACCGCAUAAAACCUAACACCGCAUGGUGUAGGGUUGAAAGAUGGUUUCGGCUAUCACUUUAGGAUGGACCCGCGGUGCAUUAGUUAGUUGGUGAGGUAAAGGCUCACCAAGACCGUGAUGCAUAGCCGACCUGAGAGGGUAAUCGGCCACACUGGGACUGAGACACGGCCCAGACUCCUACGGGAGGCAGCAGUAGGGAAUCUUCCACAAUGGACGAAAGUCUGAUGGAGCAACGCCGUGUGAGUGAAGAAGGUUUUCGGAUCGUAAAACUCUGUUGUUGGAGAAGAAUGUAUCUGAUAGUAACUGAUCAGGUAGUGACGGUAUCCAACCAGAAAGCCACGGCUAACUACGUG